CCCCCCGCAGCAUAGCCCAGCUGCGUACAUUUCUAGGUUUAAUUUCUUACUGCCGUCCUUGGCUACGUUCUGUAGCAAUCUACAUGCAACCACUGCAUGAUUGUCUUGCCAACGAAAACAAACCAUUUACAUUAACUCAUUCGGCAGAAAAUGCCUUCUAUACCCUUAAGUUACUGGUAACGUCAGCUCUGGCACUGGAUCUCCCAGAUUAUAGAAAGAAUUUUAACCUGUUCUGUACUGAGCAAUC